AGCGAACGCUGGCGGCGUGCCUAACACAUGCAAGUCGAACGUGAAAGGGAGCAAUCCCAAGUAAAGUGGCGUACGGGUGAGUAACACGUAGGUAAUCUACCCCAGAAUCUGGAAUAACCGGCCGAAAGGCUGGCUAAUACUGGAUAGAGCGACGGAAUCCGUAAUUGGGUUUUUCGGGAAAGGUAGCCGGUAAAAGGGCCUUCGUUCUGGGAUAACCCUGCGUCCCAUCAGCUCGUUGGUGAGGUAAAAGCUUACCAAGGCAAUGACGGGUAGCUGGUCUGAGAGGACGAUCAGCCACACUGGAACUGAAACACGGUCCAGACUCCUACGGGAGGCAGCAGUGGGGAAUCUUGCGCAAUGGACGAAAGUCUGACGCAGCAACGCCGAGUGAGUGAAGAAGGCCUUCGGGUUGUAAAGCUCUGUCGAGUGGGACGAAAAUGCUUGGAGUUCACAGCUCCAGGAACUGACGGUACCACUAAAGGAAGCACCGGCUAACUCCGUG
rnacentral:rRNA from 1 species